rnacentral:tRNA from 1 species
GUCAAGUUAGUUUAAUAAAAACAUCAGCCUGUGGAUUUGAAAAUGAAAAUCUAAUUUCACUUGACC